CCGCCUCGCGAGUUGCAAUUCUUCAUCAAAUGCUGGUGCGAGUACGCGCGACACUCGUCCCACGAGAGCCUUGGCGGUGGAUUGAGAGGCGCCGAUGGUGGAGGCGAGUGGAUCGAGCAGCGCCGACGGUGGAGGCGAGGUGAAUUUGUUUGCACCGCUCGCUUACUCUGUGCUUGACAGGCUGAAGUCUCUGGACCGGUUGACUCAGAUUUCUUCUCUCAUGUGUAUUGGGGAUUGUGAUUACCGGAGCCGAGUCGCGAGGAGGUCGUCCCGAAGGCGAGGGUCGAGGAUCGCGAUUCCUUGGACGAGGUUAAGCGGAGCUCUCCUGAUUACCGAGUGACAGUAAUCUAGUUGGCAACAACUUUGCAUUGGACAACUCUGACAGAAGGUUUUGCUAGUUUGCAACUGUGAUGUGCUUUUUUAAUAUGGCGACAAGAAGAAUGAGGCCAACAACUUCUAAAUCAAGUGGUGUAACUCCUAAUGAGGUCGAAUCAGAGUUAACCUGCUAUUGUGGUCUUCGAUCACCACUUCUUAUUGCAAAAACAAAGAAAAACGCAGGAAGAAGGUUCUAUGGAUGUGCUAGGUUUGAUGGUCCAGGUUGUUGCAAUUUCUUCAUGUGGGUUGACCAAAAAAUACCGGAUCAAGUGAGGGACAUGAUAAUCGAACUGCUUGAAAGAAAUCAAGCACUAUCGGAGUCAAGCCAAUCCAGA